rnacentral:misc_RNA from 1 species
GUACCCUCAAGCUCUGCUUGGUGUUGGGUGUUUGUCCCGUUUCACGCGUGGACUCGCCUUAAAGCAAUUGGCAGCCGGCAUACUGGCCUUGGAGCGCAGCACAAUUUGCGCUUCUUGCCCUGAAUGUCAGCGUCCAUCAAGUCUACAUUUUUGC